GAAGUACAUUUAAAAAAGCCACUCGAGGUCAACAGGCCGUGCCCUCCACAUUAAGGCGGAGUGGAGUCACUUCUCGGAAAGCAACACAAAGCCAUUUGGGGUCGUUUAGAGUCUUAGAAUAUUUCUCAGAUGUGGCCCCAAAAAUGAAGUUUGAAACAAAGAGAAGGAAGGACUCAGAGCACGUAACAGAGUGUUAGCAGAUAAUCAGAUUUGUCGGCUGCACAUUUAAUAAUAUUAUAGCCUUGCGUUCAAAACAGCGGUAAAGACAGUUUUACUUACAAUAAACCACAGGUUCUCAUCAAAGUUCAACUAGGUAAAUCUUGACAGAGUGACACAGAUGAACCUAUACAGCCUGGUCAGUGUGCUAGUCUGUGGAGGGAGCAGCACAGGCAGCAUGCAUUGUCCCAGCGUGUAUUACAGUAUAUGGGUGCCCCCUAGCGUAUGAAAUUUCCUUGCUUCAAAUAAGAUUCAAUUUAGAGGAGCCAUCCGACACGGAAACCGCUUCAGUCUCGUCUCUCUCAUCGACCAAACUAACGAGCACCAUUUUAAACUGAUGACUGUUUGUUUAAAUUCUGUUUUACAUGACUUGGACGGCGAAGCUUUGGGAGUUGCCAAAGUUGGAUUUACUUUUUCGCCACUUCAGGCAGUCCCGGCGGUGAUCCCGUGAACACGGAGAGUCUGUAAAUAAAUUAGAAGGUAUCGACUUAUCCAGGACGCCGUUUUGCUUCAAAUGUUUGGGCGAAGACACAAGAGAGAAAGCCGUGGCAGCGUUGAGUCCCGAGCCAGACACGGCUCACAUGUGGCCCCAAAGGCAGCAGACAGCGUAUUGAAUUACUGUAACUUAAGGUGUAAUGUGGUAGCAGUGUGGGAUAUGUAAAAACUAUAGAAACGGAUGUAGAGGAGGCUUACCUCAGCCGCAGCUUCGGCUUACACGUCAGUGUUAAGGAUAAGGCUUAUUUUCUUAACCUUCAUUAGCAACCAUUUAUUAGUUAUAACGACAGCCUUCCCGUGGAGACGGCCAGAUCAGUAGAUUGACCAGCAAUAUAAGAUACUGCAUCAGCAGCAUUAUUCCUCUACUAAUUCAUUUCUUUUAUACAGACAUGUUUGGAGUAUAAGGACUCAUAGAUGCACAAUGGUAAAGUUGCACUUAAAUUAGCGUUCUUGUGGCCGUAAGAGAUGUCCACCUACUGUAAGUAUUGGUGUUUGAGUUGUUACUACAGCAGCCAGUUACUGUUUGCUCUCUAUGUGCAGUGGUGACUAAUAAAGUUUUAAGAUACAA